AACGAACGCUGGCGGCAGGCUUAACACAUGCAAGUCGAGCGCGGUCCUUCGGGACUGAGCGGCGGACGGGUGAGUAACGCGUGGGAACGUGCCCUUUCCUCCGGAAUAGCCCUGGGAAACCGGGAGUAAUGCCGGAUACGGCCUUCGGGCGAAAGAUUUAUCGGGGAAGGAUCGGCCCGCGUUGGAUUAGGUAGUUGGUGGGGUAACGGCCUACCAAGCCGACGAUCCAUAGCUGGUUUGAGAGGAUGAUCAGCCACACUGGGACUGAGACACGGCCCAGACUCCUACGGGUGGCAG
rnacentral:rRNA from 1 species